AUUUAUUUAUUUAAGUGAACUAGUAUCUGCCUAGCUAAGGCACUGCAUAGUCUGUGAGGAAAAACAGGAGCAUAACGGUUAGACUGAUGAAGCUGAGACACAAAACAGGGUAGAUGAAGAUGACAGAGAUGUAUUGCAAAUGCAGUGAUGGAUCCUUUCUUGUAAGGAAGUGUAUACUGCUGUGUUCCCCUUGGGUGUGUUCAGCUUCUUCCCAGCAGCAGCACCAAGCACUGCGCUCUCACUCUCCCUGCACUCCCGGCAGCGCUCUCUAGGAUAAAGCCCUCUGAACAGCAUUGACAGUCUUGGGUUGAAGAGAGCAAUGUAAUGGAAAAAAGCAAUACUAACACUGACCAAACAAUGCAGUGCAGGCAUAGAUAUAGGCUUUAGAUAUAGGCUUUGCUGAACAGAGCAUUUUUGUGAAGGCUUCUGAACACAUUAGUGAUACUAGAUGAAAAUAGGGUACAGAGAGACAUUUCUGUACCUUAAAAAGGCCACAUAGUUUAACUAGAGAAGGAACAGCUGCAAUCAGCCACUACAUUUGCAUGACAGAUUUUGCCCGCUGUUUGUACCUUGCUGGGCAUAAGUGCAAGCCUCUGAUUCUGCAAACGUUUAAUGCAGGCAGCUGAAAAUACUCAUAUGUCGAACUAGAAUCCACCUUUGAUAUUUUUAUGCAGCAGAUAUCAAACAAAGCCAACAGUGCAUGUCAAUAUAUAUUUUAUUUUUUAAUACACUGGAGGAUUCUAGCUCAUUGAAGUCAAGUCCCCGCAGUUAGCUGCAAAGCCUUAAAUAGGGCUGGAUCUGCAUAACCAGCAAUGGCAGGCUGUGUUGAGGCAAAGUAAUUGGCCUUUAUGGUCUCAUACUUUGUAAUACCCUAGAAUAAGCGAGACUGAAAACGAGUCAAUUAAAAAAGAUAGUGUUUGCAAGUUGUCUGUCCCUUUGGCUGGGAAAACUCCAUAAAUAUGUCUACUUAUCAACAGUUGGAGUAACUGGAGGAAAUGACAGACAGCCAUAAGUAGAAAUAUUAUUGACAUCCUGCCUCAGCUGCUUACGGUUUCCUAUGUACUAAAGGGUAGUUGCUAAAGCCCUGACCCUGGGGGUAAUGAACAGUGCUCUGACAUUUCCAAGUCGCUUUGUAGCUUGUUCAAAGCCUUCCCUCAUUCCUCUUCCCCCAUUCACCUGCCCAUCAGCCCAUCAGUUCUUUCUCACAGAGCUGCUAUGAGACUGGGAAGUGCUCUUGUGAUAGCUGUUAAAGGCAGCCCUUCAGGGCUGGAAGCAUGGCCAUAGCCACUUGCUUGAUCAAGCUGACGACUCAUAUCUGUGUUCAGAUACUUCUACCAAAUGUACUUAAAACAACAAAGAAAAAAAAGCUUACAAGUAUCUGAAGUGAGAAAUUAGAAAAUUCGAAUGAUUUAUGUGAA